AUACGGAGGGUGCGAGCGUUAAUCGGAAUUACUGGGCGUAAAGCGUACGUAGGCGGUUGGUUAAGUUAGAUGUGAAAGCCCCGGGCUUAACCUGGGAACUGCAUUUAAAACUGGCGAACUAGAGUUGAGUAGAGGGGAGUGGAAUUUCAGGUGUCGCGGUGAAAUGCGUAGAGAUCUGAAGGAACACCAGUGGCGAAGGCGACUCCCUGGACUCGAACUGACGCUGAGGUACGAAAGCGUGGGUAGCAAACGGGAUUAGAUACCCUAGUAGUCC
rnacentral:rRNA from 1 species